AGUGAACGCUGGCGGUAGGCCUAACACAUGCAAGUCGAACGGCAGCACAGUAAGAGCUUGCUCUUACGGGUGGCGAGUGGCGGACGGGUGAGGAAUACAUCGGAAUCUACUUUUUCGUGGGGGAUAACGUAGGGAAACUUACGCUAAUACCUCAUACGACCUACGGGUGAAAGCAGGGGAUCUUCGGACCUUGCGCGAUUGAAUGAGUCGAUGUCGGAUUAGCUAGUUGGCGGGGUAAAGGCCCACCAAGGCGACGAUCCGUAGCUGGUCUGAGAGGAUGAUCAGCCACACUGGAACUGAGACACGGUCCAGACUCCUACGGGAGGCAGCAGUGGGGAAUAUUGGACAAUGGGCGCAAGCCUGAUCCAGCCAUACCGCGUGGGUGAAGAAGGCCUUCGGGUUGUAAAGCCCUUUUGUUGGGAAAGAAAAGCAGCAGGUUAAUACCCCGCUGUUCUGACGGUACCCAAAGAAUAAGCACCGGCUAACUUCGUG
rnacentral:rRNA from 1 species